rnacentral:rRNA from 1 species
GACGAACGCUGGCGGCGUGCUUAACACAUGCAAGUCGAACGGAAAGGCCCUGCUUUUGUGGGGUGCUCGAGUGGCGAACGGGUGAGUAACACGUGAGUAACCUGCCCUUGACUUUGGGAUAACUUCAGGAAACUGGGGCUAAUACCGGAUAGGAGCUCCUGCUGCAUGGUGGGGGUUGGAAAGUUUCGGCGGUUGGGGAUGGACUCGCGGCUUAUCAGCUUGUUGGUGGGGUAGUGGCUUACCAAGGCUUUGACGGGUAGCCGGCCUGAGAGGGUGACCGGCCACAUUGGGACUGAGGUACGGCCCAGACUCCAACGGGAGGCAGCAGUGGGGAAUAUUACACAAUGGGCGGGAGCCUGAUGCAGCAACGCCGCGUGCGGGAUGACGGCCUUCGGGUUGUGAACCGCUUUCGCCUGUGACGAAGCGGGAGUGACGGUAAUGGGUAAAGAAGCACCGGCUAACUACGUG